CCAUAGCCCUGAUAAGAGUGGAAAUCCUUUUACUUUUUGCUGCCAAAAAGUAAAAGAUUAUAACGGAUAGCAGGACACGAG
rnacentral:sRNA from 1 species